AGCAGCCGCGGUAAUUCCAGCUCCAAUAGCGUAUAUUAAAGUUGUUGCAGUUAAAAAGCUCGUAGUUGAAUUUCGGGAUCAAUUUAUCGGUCGUGCCAAUGGUAUGAACUGGUACAAUUGGUUUCUUCCUUCUGAUAAAGCGUGAUGCCAUUAACUUGGUGUCGCCGGGGAAUCAGAACUGUUACUUUGAAAAAAUUAGAGUGUUUAAAGCGGGCUUAGGCUUGAAUACAUUAGCAUGGAAUAAUGAAAUAGGACGUUUGAUCCUAUUUUGUUGGUUUCUAGGAUCGACGUAAUGAUUAAUAGGGAUAGUUGGGGGCAUUAGUAUUCAAUUGUCAGAGGUGAAAUUCUUGGAUUUAUUGAAGACUAACUACUGCGAAAGCAUUUGCCAAGGAUGUUUUCAUUAAUCAAGAACGAAAGUUAGGGGAUCGAAGACGAUCAGAUACCGUCGUAGUCUUAACCAUAAACUAUGCCGACUAGGGAUCGGAUGAUGUUAAUUUUUAAUGACUCAUUCGGCGCCUUA
rnacentral:rRNA from 1 species